AGCCUUUUCAUCAACCCCUACCCACCUUACACAUGCAAGUAUCUGCACACCCGUGAGAACGCCCUCCCCCCUCGCUCAGGAAGAAGAGCUGGUAUCAGGCACAUACUAAGCCCACAACACCUAGCUACGCCACACCUACAAGGGUACUCAGCAGUGAUAAACAUUGAUCAUAAGCGCCAGCUUGAAUCAGCCGAGGUAAAGAGGGCCGGCAAAUCCGGUGCCAGCCGCCGCGGCUACACCGUUAGGCCCAAGUUGAUGCACUCCGGCGUUAAGCGUGGUUAAAGUUACAUCAUUGAUUAGAGCCAAACUUCAACCAAGUUGUGACACACUUGCUACUAGAAGCCCGAAACGAAAGUUACUCUAACCGACCCACUUGACGCCACGACAAUCAGAACACAAACUGGGAUUAGGUACCCCACUAUGUCUAAUUGUAAAACAUUCACUUACACUAAAACCGCCCAGGAAUUACGAGCCAAAGCUUAAAACCUAAAGGACUUGACGGUGUCCCACCCACCUAGAGGAGCCUGUUCUAUAAUCGAUUUCCCCCGAUAAACCUCACCACUUCUAGCCACCAGCCUGUAUACCUCCGUCGUAAGCUUACCAUGUGAACGAACCUAGUGAGCCUAAAGGUCACCACCAAUACGUCAGGUCAAGGUGCAGCUAACGAACUGGGAAGAAAUGGGCUACAGUCUCUACCUUAGAGCCAACGAAAGACUUCAUGAAACACAGCCUAAAGGCGGAUUUAGUAGUAAAAAGAAAAUAGAGAGUUCUUUUUAACCAGGCGCUGGGACGCGUACACACCGCCCGUCACCCUCUUCAAACGC
rnacentral:ncRNA from 1 species